rnacentral:rRNA from 1 species
UACGUAGGGUCCGAGCGUUGUCCGGAAUUAUUGGGCGUAAAGGGCUCGUAGGCGGUCCGUCACGUCGGGAGUGAAAACUCAGGGCUCAACCCUGAGCGUGCUUCCGAUACGGGCGGACUAGAGGUAUGCAGGGGAGAACGGAAUUCCUGGUGUAGCGGUGAAAUGCGUAGAUAUCAGGAGGAACACCGGUGGCGAAAGCGCCUGUCUGGCCCAAUACUGACGCUGAAGCGCGAAAGCUAGGGGAGCAAACGGG